UCUCUUGCAAGGUUUUCAUCAGUAAUAUUUUUUCACGUAAUUUUAAUUGAGAACUUAUUCUAAAUACUGUAAAGUUAUGCUCACAAAUUUAAAAAAAUUACAACUUCAAGUGCAUCCAACCAUAACGAGCUUUAGAUAUAUUUACUAUAUUCUAUUGCUCAUAAGUAGAUCUUUCAUAGUAAAAAAAUUUGCUUUUAACCCUUUAACGAGGAUGAUGACAAAAAAAGAUAAUAAAGAUAGUCAUGAUUUAUUCAAUUUAUAACAAGAGUAAAUAAAU
rnacentral:lncRNA from 1 species